AAGUUACUUUUCUUCUUUAAUUGUUAAUUAUACCUCGUUCAAGUGCUUUAAUUGAUAGAUUUCAUGAUUACUUUCAUUUAUUUGUUAAUUAAAUUGGUGCCUUGACUAUUUUGUUGAUUUUGGAGCAUAAAUAGGGCAAAUUUCACCCAAUUUAACCACAACUUCAAGAGAGGUAACAUCCUUUAUUAUUUUAAAUUCUUUUAUGUGCUCCAAUGUGUUUUUUAUGUGUAAUUGCAUGUUUUGAGUGCUUUUUCUUUAAUUAUUCAUUUUUAUUCAUGUUAAGUUUCAUUUAUUUUAUUCAAUUUUUAAUGAUUAUUUGUGAGGCAUUUAAAUGUCAAAUUAUAAUAGAUAGGCGUUCAAGAUAUGUAUUUAGCCAGUCUAUGUUAAAGAUAGCUCUUAAUUUUUACUAAAAAUGUAUUUAGUUAGAUAAAUGUAAUAGUUAGGUUAUUAUUUUUAAAAUUUCCCCCUUAGAUUGUAAUUAGAGUCUCGAAUGUAAUAGUUAGGCUUUUAUUUGCAUUUAUAUGCUUGUGUGCUUGCAUGCUUAUGUGUUUACGUGCUUAUCUGCUUUCAUUAGGGUUUUGCAUUUAGAAAUUAUGCUUACGUGUUAUGCGAUCUAUGUGUUUUAUGUGUUUACUUCUUUUAAUUAUGUUUUGUAUGAUUCAUUUAGUUAUAAUAAAUGCAUGACGUCACCACACUAGUCCAAUGUUAGUUGUGGCCUUUUCUUCUGAUUUCUCACUAGUACAACGCUAGUGAAGAUUUGUAGAAAUGUGUUAGUCCAAUGCUAGACCCUUUAGGCCGUCCCGCGAUAGAAUCACUUGUUUUGCGUGACAUUCAUCGUAUUUCAUACAUGUUUUUCAUUUUUAGGGUAUUUUCCAAUCUUGCGUGAUAUUUCCUUUAUAUAUUAUCUUCCUUACCCCUAUGUGUGCGAAACAUGACAUUUAGACUUACAUUCCAUUUAGAAAAUUAGAAGUAAGUUAGUUCAUUUGCUUGAUUAGGUUAGGGGAGUCACCCUUCAAAUAUGAGAAAUGGACGAGUAUGGCUUUUUAAUCUUAGCAUGUUCGUAUCUCUUCUAAAAAAAGGAAAAUUGAAGUCACGAAUCUUAGUCCCUCGUAUCCGUUAUAUUGCAUUCCUCUCCUUUAGGCCACGUAUAUUUAUAAUUCUUCUUUUCUUUGAGUCUCUUUUUUGUAUAUUCAUGACCUUUUCUAAGAAUCAUUUUGGGUAUCACAAUUAAUGUGAUUUGUACCAAUUAAACUUUGAAGUGAUAUUUCAACCCUCUCGAUAUCCAUUAGGUCUAAGUUUGCAUCCAUGUAGAAACAUCCAAAUGUGAUAAGUUUUAUAGGUUUGAUUAAGAAAAUUUUCGAUUAAAUCUCGCAACUAGUUUUGGUUCGGUUGAAAGGGUGUCUUAGUUUUGAUUCUAUCAAAUCUUUGCCGUCCCUUUUUCAAGCAUGACUCCCAAACUCUUUUCUCUUGUUUUCAAAGACCUGGAGUCGUCUAAAAAGAGUUUCAUUUAUUUUCAUUAAAAAUAAGUUUUUAGGUGACUUGGUACACCCUAAACUCAAUACCAAGUGACGACUCCUAUUUUUUCCUAAAAACCCUUUUUUAGACUAUUAUUUUGGGCCAAAAUCAUCGCACUUUUUAAGUUCCAGUUUGGCCCUUUUUCUUUUGUUUAUUCUCUAAAAUAAAAAACUUGCUUUCCAAAUAAAAUCAUUUUUCUAACACCUAAACCCUUAGAUUUAUUUUACUUUUCAAAAAAAUGGGGCGCGACAACAUGGAAGGUCAUGUUUUGCUCUAACAUACUCAUAGAACUAAUGCUCUUUUGCCAUUACAAACAGAAGCUUAGGCAUGUCUCAAUGCAUUUAGAUGGAUGCAUCAAUUUGCCUCGUUAGUCAUUACCAUUGUUGGACAUGGGACAGGAACGGUUGUUAGAUCAACCAUCCUUGAACGGUGUAACUUUCUUUGAACAAUUUGUAACUUUGAGUGAACUACUUGUAAAACCUCUUAACAGACACACAAUUAUUAUGCAUGGAACCCAUAUGAAUAGUAAUAGAAUAUCAUAUCUCUGUUGUAAAUAUCUACAAGCAGUUAAGAAGGAGUUCCAGUUUGUAUAGGGAGAGUUACACCAACCGUUUUGGCUCCAAAUCCACCAUUGCCACAGAAUAUCUCCUGCUUUUGAAAUAUCUAGCUAAUAUAUUUGGUGCUACUUCAACUAUAGGCUCUAUUUUGAAGGAUGCAUUGAUGUUAUCUUCUUUUGUUAAGAAACUUUAUAUUCUUAAGAGCAAAUUAUCAAGGUAGCCAUUAAUCUUUUUGAAUAGUCAAGUUUUGGCCAUUCAACUAUUAAUAGUAUAUUUUUACUCACUAAACUAUUAAAAGUGUAAAUUUUAGGCCAUUUCGUCUGAUUUUAUCGUCAACACUGUCAGCUUUAACUAUUAAUAGUAUGUCUUAUGAAUCAUACAAUCCCUUAGGUUUGAUAGAGUUAAUGGUAGAAUCAGAUGGAAUGGUGUAAAAUUCAUAAUUUUAAUAGUUCAGUGGGUAAAAACAUAUUAUUAAUAAUUGAUUGGCCAAAUUUUGACUAUUAAAAAAGUUUAUUGUCUAUCCAAAACACAAGAAGGAGAGGUCUAUUGAAUACCAAAAGCUAAUGGUGCCAAACUUCAAUGCAACCUCUCCAAGAACAUAAGUGAUUGUGAUUGCUAGACCUUUCAACAGACCCAAAUGUGAUUACCACCAAGCAAUGUUAUCUCUGAUGCCAAAUAUAAGUGAAUGAGCCCUAGCGAGAGUCAGGUGGGCGGUCCGCUAUCUUCGAGGAUAUGCCCUAGGAGAGGGUGGGACCGUCACAGGUGGUAUCAGAGCUCUUAAUGAGCUCACGCCGAGAGAGGGUUCUCGGACUGUGGGGAAUGGCCCAUUAAGUGCUGAACUAAUUACUAUUGCUAAGGGAAUUAGAUAUGUAUGUUGGGUAGGAAUCUUAAAUAUAGGUGAUUUACACUUGAGACUGGCCAGCCUGAGCUGUGAAUUAUCCUAUUGUUAGAUUCUUAUACCCGAGUACCAGAUAUUUCAUUCAAUGGUGUAUUUGUGAAUUGGGAAGAAUUUUGUAUGUCGUAUUAUGAUGUGACUAGAAAUCAGGAUUAAAAUUGAAAAAAAAAAUAGAAUUGAAAGGACCAAGUCUAGCUUUUGAAAGUUAAAAGUGAUGAACCAGUAGUGAGAUCUUGAAUAAUUUUAUUAGCCUUCGAUGGUAAAUAGAUGAUAUGCCAACUCCUGCCUAAAAAUAUGGUUUUCUGACCUAAAAUUUGAGUGAAAUAGUAGUUUAAGUAAGGACCAGGUGCAUCCUUUCAGCAGUGUGUUCUAGGGCAUCGAAUGACUAAUCACUGUGACUGUUCAAGAGCUUACUUCCAUCUGGAUCGAGUGAUACUCGUUUAAAUGGGUAAAAGACAGAAGUUAGUAAUAGCAAAUGAGAGAUCUCAUAUUAGAAUGUAAAAGAUGAGGAAAUUCAUAAGGAUGUGACGUGACAGGAUUUUAGAGUUGAAAACUAAUAUGAAAGAGGAACCAAUGGAAGUAGAAUCAGAAGAAGAAAUUUGGUCUAGUGGGACUGUCCAAAAUUAUAUUAAUGAAAGUUAAGUUGAAUCUAAACUAAGGGUUGAGCUAUUAGCUAUGUGGUUAUAAUAAUUUGUGUAUUAUUGAAUUGUUUUCUUUCAUGUUUAUAAAGAUUGAAGUUUGAGUUAUGUAUAAAAAUAUUGAAUGUAUCCGUGAAUUGUUUGACUUUUAAAGUUGUAUGAAAUUGGUAUGUAUUGUAACUUGCAUUAUUGUGCUAUGUCACCUAAUGACCGUGUGUUUGUUUAGUUAUCAAAUUAUGUGAUUUGCUAGCUUUUGGAUUGAGAUUGCUUGUUAACCUAAAUAUAUGUAGUUAAUUGUCAAUUAUUUAUAUAAAUUGGUAGUGAGAUAUAGAAGUCGGACCACGACGACGAAGCCGUAAACUUAGGCAAACCCAAGAGUAAGAGGAAGAACAGGAAUCUGCAGUUAACCAUAACCAGGAACAAGGAACCCAUAUAAGUGAUCUAGUAGCUACUGCUUUAAGCACCCGACAGGAUUAAGGGGUUGGGAUUGUAAAUCAACCUAGGGAACGGGAGGUAAAAUUAUCCAUUACGAAUUAUACAAGGGUUGCAUAUAAGAGAUACAGGAAGCAACUUGGAAGUUAAAAAAAAUACAGAAAUGAUACAUGGAACCUUGUGAUUAAAGGUAUGAAUUUCGAGGACGAAAUUUCUUUAAGGGGGGAAGGAUGUGAAAACCCUAGAAAAUUUUUGUGUAAGUUUUGCAAGUAUUAUUUUCAUUUUGCUAUUAGAAAUAAUAAUUGGUCGAUUAAAUGUCAAAAUUUAAAUUUUACAACAAAAUCAAGAAAUUAUAAAUACUUUGGAAUAGUGUAAAAAUAUAUAUAACAAAAGUUAGGAGUUAAUGUGUGAACUAACAAAGCCAUAGCUCCUUAGUAAGCAAUUAAAUUGGUACCAAAUGACCUAACUCACCUUUCAAUUUAGCUAAUCUACCAUGCGGCCAGCUAGUAUCAGAACCUUAGAAACAAAACUGAGUGGAGAGGCCUUGGAAUUGCCAUCACCGACUGACGAAGCGGUGAGUGAUCACCGAGAGAAAAGGAGAACUUAGUUCAUUCUCUUGCACACUUCAAGACCAACCGAGAGAGUGAGAGAGAGAGCUCUGCAUUUUUCCUUAGGCAGCAACAACCGAGAGAGGAAAAAAAAACAGAGCAACCGAACAGCUUUUCCAUUUCUGCACUUUUUAACCAACCAAAGCCGAGAGCUAAGAGGAGAAACCAGUCUGCAACUUCGAGUAUCAGCUACAUCAGCGAGGGGAAAAGGGAUAGCUGGUGCAAGAAUUGAAGGAGCUGAAGCAAAGAGAGAUGGAGCUGUUUGCUAUUAUCAAAUUCUAAGGGAAAAGAGGUAAGAAUCUACCAUAAUUUUCUGCUUAGUUAGCACAAAUGAGUAUAUAUACAAGCUGCAUGUUAGUUUUUAGUAAGGAACAAUAGGUUAACCGAGGAGAAAUCUGUUAAAGGAGGAAAAAAAUGGGAACUGCACAGAAAUGGAGGUAACUGAGAGUUGUUGAGUUGCAGCUCAUGAAUGAAAUAAAUUUUCUGUAUUAACCUCUUCGUUAUUCAGUACCCUUGAAUAUUAAGGUUGCAUAUUGGGUUUUAGCUAAGAAAAAACCAAGUUUGGUUGAAGGAAAUGGUUGGAAGUUUCUGCUAAGCUGUCCAAAGGAGGAGAGAUGGAAACUUCCAGGUUUCUUUAUAUAUUUUGGUUCUAAACUCCUACACUGAGGUUUAACCCACUGCCUAAUAUGUUAGUCUUGGCAUGCAUGUUAGAUUUGGGUAUGAAAUGAAGUAGUUAAUGGAGAAAUCCUCGCUUAAAAUCUGAUUGCUGUCCGAAAUGUUACCCAUCAUGGCCGAAAGAGAGAAACAAGUUCUCAUCAGCUUUUUCUUCAAAGUUUUAACUGUAAACUUCAUGUGUGGUGGUUAAGGCUACUCUGUAGUUUAAUACUUGUAUUUGGUAUGAUGAGCUGGAGAUAAAACUGAAGGAGUUAUGGUGAAAAUGUUGCAUAUUAAACUGCUACACUGUUGGAAGCUUUAGUUGUUCAAUGCCAUACCUGAUGUCAGAUUGUUGUGCGUGGCUUUUGGGUUGAAUAAUUUGUUGAAACUAGAUGCUAUUUGUCUUGGUUUAUGCUGGACUGAAUGUACUUUAAGUAUUUAGAGCUUUAAGCAAGUGAAAGAAUAGAGUUUUAGCUGAAAGCUUGAAGUAACGUUACUAGUUCUGGUAGCUGUCCGAGAGAAUGAAGCAGAUUGUGCUUCUGACCGUCCCCUUUUGGCCUUGAAAACGCGAGAACUGGAUGUCAAUGUCUUCAUAGGAAAUGUACGUCUAGGUCUUAGCUUCUAAACGCUAUAAAAUUCGUCUCAAUCCAAUAAGCGUAGCUCCAGUUGUGAUAAAAACAUCAAAGGGUGGCAAAGCUGCCUUUCUUGUUGCUUUCCUCUUGUUUUCCGAAUGUAACUUGUUUUGAUGCUGGCCUUGAGGAAACCAUAUUUUAAGCAGCAAUUCUUCUAAUUUCCAACUUUGUAAGCUUACAUAAAUGAUAGUUACGGUUGCCCUGAGAUUUAAUGACUAUAUCUAGUUCUACGAGUAGAGUUAAAUUAAGGCAAAUGAGAGGAAAACUUAUGAUAGCUAUGUACAUAAAUUAACUUUUAAUCACUUAAUCUUGUCUCACGAACAUUUUAAAUACUAUAAAAUUAGAGGGACUAGUGUAGUGGAAUAAAUUGGAAGAAUAUACAAACCAGAAUCUAGUUUAAUCUAAAAAGGGAAGGAAUGAAAAGUUCACUAGCCUUAAUCUUUAAAUUUGAGUUGAAAAUAGUUUAACCUUAGUUUAAACACCUUACAAGACUUUAAAUUUGGAAUACCUGUAUAUCUCCCUUGUUUGAGUUGAUGAAAUUGAUAAAUCUUGAAGAGAAAUGUAAGAAAGAAUUGCUGGAAUUUCACAUCUUGUUUAAUAAGCUAAGGAACUUGGUUUCUAGUGAUUUAAACCUUAAGUUGGUGAGAUUUUAACGUUUAAAACUUCUCCCCUUACACUUUAGAACCUUAGAACUUAUAUUUGGGAUUGUACACAAAAUUCCUAAUCUUAAAAGCGUGAAUCCAAUGGGAGUUUUAAGAGUACUAGAUUGCUUGGAUUAGUUGAACUAUGUUUAGAGAAUCGUAAAACUCUAAAUAAACUUAUUAGAAUUCAAUUAAGAAUACCUGAAUGAUUGUAGUUGUAUUUUACCUCAGGAAUUGAGAGUAAUCAAGGGUCUAACCCAGAAAAUGAAGCUUAAUCGACCUUUAAUGGUGAGUGUUUUCCGAAUUUAUGUGUUUAACCGUUUAUGUGUAUCUAAGUGAAAUUAUGUGACAAAUGUGCUUAUCAUGAAUUAUUACUAAAUAAUUCCUUGUGAAAUGUAUCUCAAUUGUCUCUCGCCUUCUAAGUCGAUGGUGUAUUUUAUCGCACUCGACUUAAUUGAACUUGAAGGUCGAUAAUUGACUGAGUGUUACUGUAAGUGUGCAUGAAUGUAAUCCGUAUGUGUGCCUCGUUGCAUCGGCUGUGUGAGGACCUGAAUUUUCUUAUUUUUAUUUUAUUCUUUUGGCAUAAUUAAUUAUUUACUCACCCGUUUUCUCUGAAUAAUUUAUUUCAAUCAUUUUAAACUUACUUACAUGGAAUAAUGUCUCAAUUAUAUUUUUAACACGUCUCGUUAGUAAAAUUAAUUUUUCUAGGGCUCGUUUAGCGAGAAAUAAGGAGUACACAUUUUUCGAGACUAUGUUCGAUCCGAGAGUACAUUAGUCUUAGAGAAUUAAGAAUGAUCAAUAGUAGAUUAAGAAAAGUUAAUUGAGAGAUUAGAUGUGAGUAAGUUAAAAUUAAGCUUAUACCGUGCGCGCGUAGAAAGUUUUCCGAAAGACGCGCUGGUACAAAUUAAUUGGAGAUUUGAGAAAUUAAUAUUAGACUCAUGUGAGGACUCAUGUUUUUAUUUUUAAAAUAGUUAUUUUCAUGAUUAUUUACCCUAGUAUUAGUUAGUUAUAUCAUCGUUACAAGAAUUUCUUUGAAAUUGUGCUUUAUCGCACACGAGUCGGAAGUUCGUGUUUUCACGCGCGUGACUAAUUGAUGGACUUUAGAAAUUUAUUUUAGACUACUAAGAGUGAAUAAUUAUAGUGUUAAAGGAAUUACAUUUGGAGGUUUAGUGCACAAGUGGAACAAACCCGAGAGGAAACGGGCACAAAACGCGUGCGUACGCGCACUAUUAAGAGUUGACUUUGGUAAAGCUUUUGGGGCACAAUUCUCGUAAGCUUCUAAGACAAGAUUUAAAGUACAAAACACUCUUUCUUCCUCCUAGUAUCAGCCGACCAGCAACCCCAAGGAAGAAGAGAAGCAAAGCUCUCUUCAUUUGUUUCCAAUCUUGCUUCCAAAUCUUCCACAAAUCUUCACACAACACCAAAACUACUUGGAGAUUCACCUUGGCUUGGAGGAGGAGGUCUUCUAGCCGAGUUUCUUGGAGCUUUUGGUGACCAAAAUUUCUGAUUUUUCAUCAAGAACUAGGAGGUAAUCAUUCGGUCCCUUAAUCUUAGUUCUAGUUGGUUAAAUUUGGCCUUGGAGCUUGUAGCUUCAUGUGGGUGUUGUUACUUGGUUGUAAAUGAUUGGAGUGGGCUCUAUGAAAUCCCACAAUGGAUAUAUUGGACUAAUAUGGUGAUUAUAAGUGUGACUUGUGUUAAUUAAGUGGUAAACAAGGUGAGAUUAGUUGGAAAAUUGAAAUGAAAGUUGAGGAAAAUUUUGGUUGGUUGAUGACCAAUUCUGCCCUGUUUUUACCGAAGCUUUGAUUCGAAAUUUUGGUGAUCAAAUGACCUUGAAUCUGAUGUAGAUAUGUUGUAUAGGAUGUGUGGAAAGUUUUCACCAAAAAUCACUUGAUUUAGUUGAGAAAAAAAAUUGAGUUUUGGCAAGAACAAUUCUGGAAAUCGCAUAGCAGGGGUCCUCUGGCAGUAAUUUUUGAACGAACAUAUCUCUCUAUACGGAGGUCAGAAUUGAGUGCCGUCAGUGGCAUUCAAAACUAGACAUCCGUACUUUUCUAACAGUAUAAAAUGCACCCUCUGAUUCGAACUAAGUGAGCCGUAGUAGUUCACCAAAGUUACCUAUUCUGUUCUGCUGUGCUGUGCGAGUGACAGUGAUAAGCUGCGGAUUGUCGCUUGAAUUCAAGCUAGCUAUGAACUGAUUUUCAAAAUGAUUUCUUCUGAUGAAAUGUAGCCUUUUGAAUCUAGUUUCAAACGCCACAAACCAUUCUCAACUUCAAGUCGUAGUGAGUGAGAUAUGGUCUAAGUUUCAAACUACACCAAAGCCAAAAAUCUGGAAAACCCUUCUGUCUUGCUAGCCGACUGGUCUAGUUUGAUUUGGGACAUGUUGUUUUGAAAAUUCUGAUGUCAAUCACCUACCAAAUGUAUAUUAAAUGUUUUUUAGACUUUUGUUUCACAAAUGAGCCAGAUUUGAGUUGAUUUCAUUGGGCAAAAUGUUUAAAAAAGAAAAAGAAAGCAAGAAGACAGAUUUGUUUUGAAACGUUUUACAAACUUCAGUCGUUUUGUUAACUGCCUUCCCACGUAAGUUUUCAAAUGAAAUUUGAUAGAGGAGUAGUUCUCAUACGAAGUUGAAGUGUAUCAAUUUUGGUGUCAUUCUAAGAUUGUUUUGAUAUACAAAUAAGAUCCCAAAGUUACCUUUCAAAUCUGGAAAAAUGGGCCGAGUGGUCCUUGUUUUUAACCAACUUUGAGCUGCUAUAUCUUGGUGCUCAAAACUCCGAUUCUAGUUCUGUUUAUUGUGUUUAAAACUUUGAUUGGAACUCUAAUAGUGUUAUAAAUUUUAGAGACCAGUUCACUUUCUAUGAAUUUUGUUGAAUUUCCAAAGUUUGCCGAAAACUAAGACUGGAACUGUCUUGGAGAUACAAGUCAGUCACUUUAAACUGAAAUUUGAAUGUUUUUUGUUUAGAAUCUCAGAAAAUUGUCUUCUAGGAACUUUUAGUACUUCGAACAAAGAUUCCAACGGUGUAAAGUUUUUCAUUUUUCAAUAUGCCAAACUCCAGAUUCGAUUUUCCAAAGAUUAUCGUGCAAACCUGAAAUUUGCCGAUUAUUUAGAAAAUGCAAUUUUGGAAACUUGACUUCUUUUCUCGAUAUCGAUUGAACGUUUUGAACUCGAUUUCAUGGAAGAUGCUAGUCUCUCUUCGGGUUUUAAAACUUCACUCUUGAAUCUCGAGUUGAGAGAAUUAAAGCUCUCUUUUAAGACUUUGAUUUAGUCUAAAUGAGUGUGCAUCCUUUCUUUGUAAAUGCAUGAUUGUGAGUGAAGUUAAUUAUUAUUUGCUCAGGCGCUCAAGGGGAUCUUCAAGAGGAACUCGAAGCGGAUGCCUAAACACUUGUUUGAGCACUUAUUCACUUGUUUUGAAUUGGUGAGUGUUCCAUAUAGGAGUACGUGACUUGAAUAGUUUUACGACAUGUUUACACCAUGAUCAUUAUGUGUUUAACUAUUAAGUGCUACCGAUAUUUGCUCCUAUGAACUUUUUCACUGUUUUAAGGUGAGUGUGUAAUUCAUCUCAUUCGACCUACUAAAAUGACAAAUUUCUACCGUCCAACCGAUUUACCGAUUUAUCGAUUUACCGUUCAACCGAUCUACCGUUUACCGAUUUACUUGAUUACCUGCUUACUUGAUUACUGUAAAUUCCGUGUUCAUAUGAAAUUACGGCAUAAUGCUUACGUGUUUAAGUGUUAAGUGUUACCUAUAAUUGCUCUUAUGAAAUUGCCACCGUUUUAAGGCGUGUGUGUACUUCAUCUCACUCGACCUACUAAAAUAACAAAUUUCUACCGUUCAACCGAUUUACCGAUUUACUUGAUUACUUGCGCAUGUUGUAAGUUCUAAACUAAACUGGAUCCUGUCCUUGGUUACGAACCUGCUCGAGCCAGGACUGGACUCGGUCGGGUAGGUUGGAAUCCUGGACCAUCGUUUCGGUAUACUUGAAUAUUACUACUGGAGGGAUAAGGUGAUGGCCAGGCAAACCGAAAGGAUAUGAAGUUAUAAGGUGAAGUUGACCGAAAUGGUUCCACUGAAACACCAUAUCCUUCAAUAUAUGUUUAUUUCUGUAUCAUGAUAACUGUCUUAUUGUAGAUAUGCCAAUGUGAAAUUUUGAACCGUAUAUUUAUCAUGCUUAACUUGCAUGAUUUAUUAGAAUUGCUAGAGUGACUUGGAACCUCACUGGGCUGUUUAGCCCAUUCCACGUUUUUGUUUUUCUUAACAGGGUUCGAGACCAAAGGUACUCGUGAAUAGUACUAGAUUAUUUUCUUUUGAAGACCUUAAGUUGUAUUAUAACGGAUGGUUGUAGUACAUAUUCUUUUGGAUCGUAUUAAGCUUAAAAGCUAACUAAUUGUAAGUACGAAAUAUUUUGGAGUACUUUAAUUAUAUAGUGAAAAUAUUUGAAGUAUUUCGAAAUUUUGAAUUAUAGAUUGUAGUGAGUCCCGGCAAGAGUUAGGUAGGCGUUCCGCGGAUACCCUAGGGUUCGCCCUAUGGAGAAGUAGGGGCGUCACAGUUGGCAUUAGACUUUAGCUUUCAGAUCUUUGUAGUGUAUCCUAGACUUAUAAGUUUAGGAUGCCGGACUGUGGGACUGGUUAUGAAAGUUAAGUGACUAUUUAUAGGGAUGAAAAUUAGAGCCGUUUCGCGUGGUCUCUGCGCGGGGUGAUUGUGGCGCCCCCACUUCUCCCUAAGGCGAAUCAAAGGGUAUCCGCGGGACGCCUGCUCAACUCUCACCAGGACUCAAGUAAUUCCAUUCGAGCUUAUUACCAGUCUACACAACACAAGUAAAUAACUUAAAUACAGUAAAUGCGGAAGCGUUCAACCUUAACAAUAGUCAUCCAUUAUCCAACCCGCACGUCGGGUGUUCAAAGUACAUCUUAAAUCCCAAAUAUACAUCACGCUCCAAAUGUUACAUUUCAAUUCCAAAAGUACAACCCAAAACCAAGUGCAGAGCCAAAAUAUAAUAGAAACCCUAAACAAAAGUACAUCAGGAGGGUUUCUCCAAUACAUCUCUGAGUUCAAUUCUGUUAAGAAAAAUAAAUCUACAGGGUGAGCAAAACGCUCGUGUGGUCAAGAACACACAUGCAAGCACGUAGUCCAGAUAACAGUCCCAAUAACAGUUCAAGAGAUAAUUACAAGUAAUUAAUAAAGCCAGUGAAAGUAAACAGAAACAAUUCAAGGAUAUAGUAGCUCUCAGGAGCUAAGUUCCGCUUGCUGUGUCGAUGACAUUCGUAUACCUCCCCGCGAUAACACUCCGUCAACCGGGUCGGUAUUUCCAAUCCGUAGAACUCUACUAACUUCCUAUUCGUCCACCGUACACCGCUCCAGGCCCGCACGACAUUUAUAAGGUGAUACUCCACGAGUAUGCCAAGCAAGAUCUCUCAAUAGAUCAAGCUUAUCAUGUGAAUCUCAUGGCUCACCGAGAUUCCCGACCAAACCCAUACCGGCUCAAGUUCCAAGGUCGGCCUAUGAGGUUGGGCGUCCCCCAUGUUCAUGUAAAUAUCGAGGAGAUUCACUCCAACGACGUAUGCACUCAUAGCAUACCAAGUCAUGUAUACAAGUAUUUGACAGGUCCAAGCAUGUAAUUCAGGAUAUGUAAGUCUAGCAAGCUAGGCCAAGCAUGAAUCAUUUAUUUCAAAUGAGUACGAGUGCGAUAAAGUACACACUCGACUCCAUUUUAUCAAAACCAGGUAGAUUAAGCAAGACAAACAUGUAUCAAGUUCACAGGAAUUCAAGUAAACAUGCACUUGACACUCACCAAGUAGUAAGUAGUCUCAACCGAAAUUUAAGCGUUCACCGUGGGAUCCUCUUGAGGAUUCUCGUGUGCGCCUGAGCAAAUAAUAGUGAAGUAUCACUCAUAUAUCCCAAUUAUCAAGGAAGAUUGUACACUAGUACAAUCUAAGGAAAUUUCAUGAAAAUGAACAUCAAUUACGCGCAAAUCGAGAUUUAAAUGGAGUUUCUUAAAGUACACGGGUAAUCGAGUUUUCAUUUUGGGAAAUCAAGUAUAAAACGUUCAAGAAAUAUUGAAGGAAUAAGGAGUAUUUGAAAACUCCCUUCUCUUGGAAUUUGAAAAAAAACUUUAGGUUUGAUAUGAUUCUUUGAAAAAUCGUAUCUCACAUUCUACAUUCAAAAAUUGGAAAACUUGGUGCCGUUGGAAACCUCUUUGAAAGUACUAAAAGUUCUUAGAAGGCACUUUUGACUUUUCCAUGAUUCUAAAUGAAAAAUACUCAAAAAUGAGCUCAAAGUUACUGUUUCUGGGCAUUCAAGGUUGUGUCGGGGUUGGUUUUUCGCUAACUUUGGAAAUCCGGAAAAAUUCACACGUUCCGAACCAGUUUCUGAAAUUUGUAACUCAAUUAAAUUUGCAAGUAAGGUUUAUAACAGAACAAGAGGAUCAAGAAUCGGAGUUUCGAGCACCGAGAUACGGUAGCUCAAAAUUUGGGAAAAUUUGAAACUGUUGAACAAAUUUCCAGAUUUGAGUUUCCGACUUUGGGACUUUAGUUAGGUAUCGAAAUGGACUUGGAUUGGUACAAAAUUUGGCAGUAUAAUACUCCUAUAUAAAGGGUAUCCCUCUAUCAAAUUUCAUGGAAAAAUGCUUUCGAAAAGGUAGUCAACCAACCAACUAAAGUUUCGAAAAAUUCCUAAGGCAAAACUGCCUUGAGAUUUUCGUUCUUCAUUUUCAAACAUUUGGCCUAGAAAAUCCUUAAAACUUGGUUCAUUUGUGUAGGCAAAGCCUAAGGAACAUUUAUGGUACAUUUGGUAAGUGUUUAUCUCCAAGAAAUUCAAUUGACAAGUUCACACCAAGUCAAAUAUCAAAUCUGCCCAGAAUUUAGGGUUUUCAAGAACAGGGCAGAUUUCGUAUUUUGGUCACAAAUCACUCAAUUCAGCUCUGAAUUGUGAAUGGUUGGUGGAAUUGGAAAACACAUUCGUAAAGCUUCAAUUUCUCAGAAGAAAUCGUCAUGAAAUUCAGCACACAACUAACUCAAAUUCGUGCCUCAAGUUGCAGCUUCUGAACUUUGUUCCAGGAAAAGAGAGAAACAGAACAGUCAUUUUUAAAUGGUUGGUACGGCUGCUCGGAUGGAAUCUAGGGUUGUAUUUUAUACCUUUGGAAAUCUGAGAAUGUCUAGUUUCAAAUUCCACUGACGGCACUCGAUUUCGACGUCGGAGUACAGAGUUAUGGACGAAACAAGCGAGCUGUCUGAGCAUUACGGGAACAGUUUUCCAGAUUUACUAGCUUCACGAAAUUAAUCCAUUUGACCAACCAAACCUAAAUAUUUUUCAAUGAAAUUUUAUACACCAUCUAUACAACAUAUAAAAAUCAUAUACCAGCCAUUAAAUCCCCAAAAUUCUACAAAAAUAGGUACGUUCAAAGCAGGGGCAGAAUCGGAACUUUUUACCCGAUGCACUCCUUGAAGUUUAUACUAAUAAUACACCAUUAAUCUACCAUUUUGAGCACUAAACCAACAUUAAAUCCAUCAUCAAGCAUGAGAUCAGCCCUCAAGACAAAUGUGGGAGUUCAUAGAGCCCACCAAUUUCAUUUUACACCAAAAACAAGCUAACCAAUGGCAUACUAGAGCUUAAUCAUGCAAUAUAACUUCCACAAGAUAAGAUUCUAUGAGUUAAUCAUUAUGUACCUCCUUGGUGUGCAAAGACCAGAAAUUUCGGUCCCCCUUUUGUCCAAGAAAAAUCGUGAAAGCUCCCUUCCUUUAUAGUUUAAGAUGAUCCUCUAGUGUAGAAUUAAGUGUUCUCCAAUUUUUGUGUGAAUUGGGUGAGUUUUUGUGAAGAAAAAAUGAAGAGCAAUGGAGUCUUGAGAGAGGAGGGUGGUGGCCGGCAGUUUUUGGUGAGGAAGAGAGAGAGGGAAACUGAUUUUUUUUGAAGCUUCUUAAAGAAGCUUAAUGAAUGGUAGCUUGUGUGUACAAAAGUCAACUUUGAAUAAUGUAGCGCGCGCGCGUUUCGUGCUCAAUUCCUCUCGCGUUCGUUUCACUAGUGCACUAAACCUCUAGUACACUUAUAUUCAUACAAAUAUUAUUCACUCUUAAUUGUCCCAAAAUAAGGGUCUAAAGUCCCUCAAUUAAAAUCGCAUGUGUGAAAACGCGUACCACCAAUUUAAGCGCGAUAACGCGAAAUCUUCGCGAAAUUCCUAUAACGAUUGUACUACUAACUAUCACUUGAGUACUUAAACAUAAAAUUACCUAUUUUAGAACCAUUGUACAAGUCUCCAAUUUUUCAAACUUAUUGUACUCUCAAUCGAUUAAAAUUUUUCAAACGCGUUUUCACUUUUUCACUAAACAAGCUUCUAAGAAAAAUAAUUUUUGAAACGAGACACUUUAAAAAUAUAUCGAAACUAUAAUACCAUGUACUUAGGUCUAAUAAGGAUAGAAAAUAUUAUUCGUGGCAAAAAUCCAAAUAAAUAAUUGAUUUAGCAAAAAAUAGGGAUUUAAAAAUAAUAGUUUUUCGAGUCCUCACAGUGAAGUUGGGCCAAAUAGUGUUAUGGUUCUUACUAUGUGGAUGAGUAAAGAUUUAAGUAUUCUUCUAGAGUGAAACUAUGAAUCAUGAAUGUGAUAGGUAUAAACCCUUUAUCUUGAUACUUGGAGAGAAAAAAGAUAUGUAUGUUGGGUAGGAAUCUCAACUAGCUCAAAUUCGAGCCUCAAGUUACUGCUUCUGAACUUCGUUACAGGAAAAGAGAGAAACAGAACAGUCAUCUUUAAAUGGUUGGUACAGGCUGCUCGGAUGGAAUCUGGGGUUGUAUUUUAUACCUUUGGAAAGCUGGGAAUGUCUAGUUUCAAAUUCCACUGACGGCACUCGAUUUCAAUAUCGGAGUACAGAGUUAUGGAUGAAACAAGCGAGCUGUCUGAGCAUUACGGGAACAGUUUUCCAGAUUUACUAGCUUCACGAAAUUAAUCCAUUUGACCAACCAAACCUCAAUAUUUUUCAAUGAAAUUUUAUACACCAUUUAUACAACAUAUAAACAUCAUAUACCAGCCAUUAAAUCCCCAAAAUUCUGCAAAAAUAGGUACGUUCAAAGCAGGGGCAGAAUUGAAACUUUUUACCCCAUGCACUCCUUGAAGUUUAUACUAAUAAUACACCAUUAAUCUACCAUUUUGAGCACUAAACCAACAUUAAAUCCAUCAUCAAGCAUGAGAUCAGCCCUCAAGACAAAGGUGGGAGUUCAUAGAGCCCACCAAUUUCAUUUUACACCAAAAACAAGCUAACCAAUGGCAUACUAGAGCUUAAUCAUGCAAUAUAACUUCCACAGGAUAAGAUUCUAUGAGUUAAUCAUUAUGUACCUCCUUGGUGUGCAAAGACCAGAAAUUUCGGCCCCCUUUUUGUCCAAGAAAAACCAUGAAAGCUCCCUUCCUUUAUAGCUUAAGAUGAUCCUCUAGUGUAGAGUUAAGUGUUCUCCAAUUUUUGUGUGAAUUGGGUGAGUUUUUGUGAGGUUUUGUGAAGAAAAAAUGAAAAGCAAUGGAGUCUUGAGAGAGAAGGGUGGUGGCCGGCAGUUUUUGGUGAGGAAGAGAGAGAGAGGGAAACUGAUUUUUUUUUGAAGCUUCUUAGAGAAGCUUAAUGAAUGGUAGCUUGUGUGUACAAAAGUCAACUUUGAAUAGUGUAGCGCGCGUGCGUUUCGUGCUCAAUUCCUCUCGCAUUCGUUUCACUAGUGCACUAAAUUUCUAGUAUACUUAUAUUCAUACAAAUAUUAUUCACUCUUAAUUGUCCUAAAAUAAGGGUCUAAUGUCCCUCAAUUAAAAUCGCGUGUGUGAAAACGCGUACCACCAAUUUAAGCGCGAUAACGCGAUACCUUCGAGAAAUUUCUAUAACGAUUGUACUACUAACUAUCACUUGAGUAUUUAAACAUAAAAUUACCUAUUUUAGGACCAUUGUACAAGUCUCCAAUUUUCCAAAAUUAUUGUACUCUCAAUCGGUUAAAAUUUUCCAAACGCGUUUUCACUUUUUCACUAAACAAGCUUCUAAGAAAAAUAAUUUUUGAAACGAGACACUUUAAAAAUAUAUCGAAACUAUAAUACAAUGUACUUAGGUCUAAUAAGGGUAGAAAAUAUUAUUCGUGGCAAAAAUCCAAAUAAAUAAUUAAUUUAGCCAAAAAUAGGGAUUUAAAAAUAAUAGUUUUUUGAGUCCUCACAUCCUCUCCCCCUUAAGAGAAUUUCGUUCUCGAAAUUUUACCUUGAUUGGCAAACAAGUCUGGAUACUUCUCUCUGAUCGUUUUUUCAACUUCCCAUGUUGCUUCCUCAACUCCGUGGUUCCUCCAAAGAACUUUUACUAGUGGUAUCUGCUUGUUCCUCAAUUCCUUUACCUUUCGAUCCAGAAGUUUCACCGGUUUUUCCUCAUAGGUCAAAGUCUUAUCAAUCUCAACAUUUUCCGGUCGUACGACGUGAGAAGGGUCCGGAUGGUAUUUCUUAAACAUAGAUACAUGAAAUACAUUAUGGAUUCGAAAUAAAUUCGACGGUAAUUUCAACUUAUAGGCUACACUCCCCACACGUUGGAUAAACUUGUAAGGCCCUACAAACCUCGGCUGUAAUUUCUUUCCUUUUCCAGACAUCAAGCUUGCUUUCAAAGGUGUAAUCUUGAGAAAUACCAAAUCUCCAACAGUAAAUUCCAAAUCCUUUCUCCGAUUAUCGGCAUAACUCUUUUGGCGGCUCUAGGCGGUCUGAAUUCUUUGGCGUACCAACCUCACUUUCUUAUUAGUUUCUUCAAUCCAAGAUACUGUGGUCGGGUCUAAAAUUUUCCGUUCACCUAGUUCAUCCCAACAAAUUGGACACCUACAUUUUCGACCAUAAAGUGUCUCAUACGGGGCCAUCUGAAUAGAAGAGUGGAAACUAUUGUUGUAGGAAAAUUCCACUAAAGUCAAAAACUUACUCCAACUCUCUCCAAAAUCCAGAACACAAGUCCUUAACAUGUCCUCUCAGACUGUCCAUCAGUUUGGGAAUGAUAAAUGGUACUAAAGUUCAACUUAGUCCCCAAUACUUCUUGCAUCUUUUGCCAGAAUCUCGAAAUAAAUCUCGGAUCCCUGUCGGACACGAUACUUACAGGUAUUCCAUGCAACCUAAUGAUCUCAUCCAAAUACAACUUUGCCAGCUUCUUUAAUGGGUAUUUCAUAUUAAUCGGUAGAAAAUGGGCCGAUUUGAUUAAUCUAUCCACUAUCACCAAAAUAGCAUCAUGGUUUCUUUGUGUCUUUGGCAAUCCCGAUACAAAAUCCAUGGUAAUAUUUUCUCAUUUUCACUCAGGUAUCUCCAAGGGUUGCAAAAGUCCCGACAAUUUUUGAUGUUCGGCCUUAACCUGUUGGCAAACUAAGCAUGUUUGGACAAAUUGGGCAAUCUCCUUCUUCAUAUUCUCCCACCAGUAAAGACUCUUCAAGUCCUGGUACAUUUUAUUCCCGCCAAGAUGUACCGUAAACUUCGAUCGGUGUGUCUCUUCUAAGAUUUCCUUCUUAAGCUCUUUAUCCUUUGGCACUACUAUCCGAUUCCGAAAUCUCAAUAUUCCAUUUGAUCUCAAAUUAAAAUCUGUCUUGUCUCCCAUUUUAACCUUUUCCAUCAACUUUUGCACUUCAGUGUCCUUUUUUUGAGAUUUCUUAAUGCGUUCCAACAAAGUGGAAUUCACUACGAUAUUCCCCAAAAUGACCUUCCUCGGUUCCAAUCGAGAAUUCCAAUAACUAACUUCUUCCAACAACUGAAAUUCCUUAACCAUCAAUCCAGUUACUUGCACUUGACGGCUUAAAGUAUUGGCUGCUAAAUUGACUUUUUCGGGAUGAUAUUUAAUCGUACAAUCAUAGUCCUCCAGAAAUUUCAUCCAUCUACGUUCCCUCAAAUUCAGCUCCUUUUGAGAAAAUAAGUACUUAAACCUUUUGUGGUCUGUAAAAACCUCAAAUGUCACUCCGUACAGAUAAUGCCUCCAUUUCUUUAAAGCAAAGACCACAGCUGCUAACUCCAAAUCAUGAGUCGGGUAAUUCCCUUCAUACGGUUUCAAUUUCCUAGAGGCAUAUGCUAUCACUCUGUCAUUUUGUAUUAGAACACACCCUAAUCCUUCUUUAUAAGCAUCCGUGUAAACCACAAAACUAUCAUGUCCACUUGGUAGAGCUAACACAGGUACUUUUGUCAACCGUCUUUUUAACUCCUGAAAACUUUCUUCACACUUAGAACUCCAUAGAAACUUUUCUUUUUUUUUUGUCAAUUCAGUCAUGGGUCCAGCAAUUUUCGAAAAAUCCUAGAUGAAUCUCCGGUAAUACCCUGCCAAUCCUAUAAAACUUCGAACUUUCGUUGGGUUUUCCGGUCUUUUCCACUUUGAAACAGCUUCAACCUUAACUGGAUCCACUUUAAUCCCAUCCUUAGAGAUUAUAUGCCCUAAGAAAGUCACUUCUUUUAACCACAAUUCACACUUACUAAACUUAGCAUAUAAUUGGUGUUCUCUCAAAGUUUGUAAAACAAUUCUCAGGUAUUUUUCAUGCUCUUUCACAUUCUUAGAAUACACCAAAAUAUCAUCAAUGAACACUACCACAAAUUGAUCCAAAUAAGGCGUAAAAAUCCUAUGCAUUAAAUCUAUGAAAGCGGCAGGUGUAUUUGUUAACCCAAAUGGCAUCACGACAAACUCAAAAUGCCCAUAUUUCGAGUUAAAAGCAGUCUUGGGUAUAUCCUUCUCCAAAAUCCUCAAUUGAUAGUAGUCCUGUCUCAAAUCCAAUUUCGAGAAUACUACAACCCUUGCAAUUGGUCAAAUAACUCAUCAAUAUGGGGCAACGGGUAUUUAUUCUUAAUUGUAAUAUCAUUCAAGUCUCGGUAGUCUAUACACAGUUUCAGACUCCCGUCCUUCUUCUUAACAAACAAAACUGGGGCUCCCCACGGUGAAUCACUUUCCCGUAUAAAAUCCUGUUCUAACAAGUCUUGUAGUUGCAAUUUCAACUCCUUCAAUUCCGCUGGGGCCAUUCGAUAUGACGUCUUAGAAAUAGAGGCUACUCCCGGAGUUACAUCGAUCUUAAAGGCUAUUUCUCGUUCCGGGGGUAGGGACUCCAAUUCUUCAGGAAAAACAUCAGAAAAUUCUUUCACUAUAGGCAUGUCUUCCAAAUUCACCUGAUUAUUAGGGGUGUUGAUAAGGAAAGUCACAUAUCCUUGAGCUCUUUUACUUAACAACUUUCUAGCCCGGAUCCCUGAGAUAAGUGCAGACGAAGCUAAUUUACCCCUUACAUCCAGUUUCAGGGUUGCUUCUCCUGUAAUACGCAACUCUACAAUUUUCGUCCUACAGUUUAACUGAGCAUUAUAACGGGCUAACCAAUCCAUCCCCAAGAUUACAUCAUAUCCCUUAAUCGUCAAACCUAUCAAAUCAGCCAAUAAUUUUCGUUCCCCAAUCCAGAAUUCACAAUCUCUAUACACCAAGUUAGCAAUUAGACUUUGAUCCCCAGUAGGCGUUUUAACCUCUAGAUUAUAUGGUAAUUUAAUUGGUUUCAAGUCUAUCCCACUUAUGAAGUUAGGGUUUAUAAAAGAAUGUGUAGCACCUGGAUCAAUUAAAACCCUAGCUAAACGGUAAAAGAUUGGGAUUGUACCUUCUACCACUUCAGUCGCCUCAGGAACUUGUUGAUAAUCCAGUGCACAAACCCUGGCCGGUACUUUCGGUCGGCUCCCUCCGGCACUGGUUUGCUUAGAGGCUGACUUUUCCGGUCUCUGGGUAUCACCUCCCGUCUUCAUUUUGUUUGGACAGUUCGCAAGUUGGUGCUCGGUACUACCGCAGGCCAAGCACUUCCCAGACUUCCUCCAACAGCCAUUUUCAGAAUGGUUGGAUUUUUCGCAGUACCCACACGUAACUUGAGGGGUCACCGCUGAACCACUAGAAGGCGCUCUCCUUACUUGUGUCAGUCCACUACGACCUUCUCUAGAUAAAACUCCUCUCGAAGCUCUGGCAGUUCUCGAUCCUCCCGCUCAUCUUCCCAUUUUGGAAGGCUGUGCACUUUUACUAGCUUGUCCAGAGGUAUGGUUAGAAAAGUUUCUUUUUCUAUUGUGGAAGUCUCUCACUUGCAUCCUUACAUUUUCUACCCUUUGAGCUUUCUCUAGUGCCUCAAUGAACGUAGAGAUUUGGGCUGCAGUCAAGCCCUCUUGUAUCUUCACAUUAAGUCCCUGAACAAAUCGUCUAAUCCUUUUUCGCUGAUUGGUCACCAAUUCGGGAGCGUACUUUAAAAGUUUAGUAAAUCUUCCUUCAUACUCAGCUACACUAAGAGUUCCCUGUUUCAGCUUGAUAAAUUCAUCCUCCCUCUUCUCUUGGAUUAAGGGCGGAAGAAACUUUUCAUUAAAUUCCCUUGUGAAAUUGUCCAAGUCCAAGGGGUUUGAGUUCUCUCCCAUUUUCCUUUUAUCAGAUCCCACCAAACACGGGCUACUCUCUCAAAUUGGAAAGCAGCGAAGUUCACUCGCCUAUCCUCAGUGUAAUCUAGAGCGGCGAAUAUGUUGGUCAUCUUCUCUAACCAAUUCUCUGCUACUUCAGGGUCGGGUUCACCAAUAAACUUAGGCGGGUUGAACUUUAGGAACCUUUCCAAGGCUCUAUCCUCUCAUCUUUCCUAACCCUCAAAUUGGUUGAACGGUUCAGGGUCUUGUCUAUCAGCUAAGCGCUCUAGAAUAUCAGUCAUCCUAUUAAUGGCAGUAGCCACUUGAUUACCCUCAAUAUUUUCCUGACCUUAGGUCGGUCCAGUUGCCGAUCCCUGGUCAUCCCUUUGAGGUUGAGCCUGUCUAGUCCCUCGCCCACGACCUCGACCACGGUUUCGACCACCUCUUAGUCCUUCCAUAACCUAGGCGUGCCUAGUGCAAGAAAUAAAUAAAUUAUGCGAUGCAAAGUAGAGAGUAGGAACCAAUCAAGAAAAUAUUGGAAAUAACAAUAAUUUACAUUCAUUAGCAUAUCAAGUUCAUACAAUUAGCAAGUCAUGGGGUAGUCACAAAAAUAUAGCACACAGGUGCCACAAGAGUACUUUUAGUCACAGAGGACUAAAGUAAAAGCAAGUGCUUCAAAAGUAAGCCACACAGUCAUGCAAAAUACAAUGGCCUCAGCACUUAGCAUCACCCCUGCUAAUUCUAACUGUACUAGUCAAAAGGAUCAAAAGAAAGGACAAUCAAUCUAGACCUAAUCCACAGUAGGACUAUCAGGAGGAACCUCCUUCUCAGGAUCCUCCUCCUCAGAGCUAUGGACUGCCUCCAUCGCCUCAUCCACUAGCCUAGUAGUAUGAGUCAAAAUCCUGGAAGCCUGACCACAGACCUCCCCUCUCAAACUAGUAAGUCGAACCCUAGUACUGUCGAGCUCCUCACGAACAACUGCGGAUGUGGCCACCUCACCCUCGAUCACCUCCUCAAACUCGGCAAUCCGCUCACCCUGAGCGCCCACCAUCUGUCUCAACUCGUCCACCUCUGCCUGUAACUCUCAGUUAAGAUCCACCAGCUGACGACGCUCGUCGUCCAGAGCAAGCACAAGAUGAUUCGGGUAGGCGAAGGUCAACCUACACGGACAUUGGGGAUACCUAGUAAUAGGUGAAUAGCGUACACGAGCUCCUCCCUCUAGAGCUCGAUAGUAAAUAGGCCUAAGGGGCUCUACAUGGCCAUUCCCAGUAGCCGCCGGGGCUCCAUUUCCGUUCUCCAUCCCUGCAAAACAAUCACACUUUUCGGUUAUAAACUUAAUCACUACCUAGUCCGGAUACACCGUAAUGCAUGCCUAACUUAAUCACUAGUUCAUCCCAAAUGUCACUUGAGGUAAGACUAACGUAGUUGCUAGCUCGCCCCAAGUAUCACUUAAGGUAUGACUAAGUCAUCCUCUAUCGAAUCUUAAAAGUAGAGUACCUAAUAUGUCUCCCAUAUAGAUCUCUAACCUAGCGCUAACCUAGCGCUCUGAUACCAAUCGUGACUCCCCCACUUCUCCCUAAGACGAACCAAAGGGUAUCCGCGGGACGCCUGCCCAACUCUCGCCAGGACUCAAGCAAUUUCAUUCGAGCUUAUUCCCAGUCUACACAACACAAGUAAAUAACUUAAAUACAGUAAAUGCGGAAGCGUUCAACCUUAACAAUAGUCAUCCAUUAUCCAACCCGCACGUCGGGUGUUCAAAGUACAUCUUAAAUCCCAAAUAUACAUCACGCUCCAAAUGUUACAUUUCAAUUUCAAAAGUACAACCCAAAACCAAGUGCAGAGCCAAAAUAUAAUAGAAACCCUAAACAAAAGUACAUCAGGAGGGUUUCUCCAAUACAUCUCCGAGUUCAAUCCUGUUAAGAAAAACAAAUCUAUAGGGUGAGCAAAACGCUCGUGAAGUCAAGAACACACAUUCAAGCACGUAGUCCAGAUAACAGUCCCAAAUAACAGUUCAAGAGAUAAUUACAAGUAAUUAAAAAAAUCAGUGAAAGUAAACAGAAACAAUUCAAGGAUAUAGUAGCUCUAAGGAGCUAAGUUCCACUUGCUGUGUCGAUGACAUUCGUAUACCUCCCCGCGAUGACACUCCGUCAACCGGGUCGGUAUUUUCAAUCCAAAGAACUCCACUAACUUCCCAUCCGUCCACCGUACACUGCUCCGGGCCCUCACGACAUUUAUAAGGCGAUACUCCACGAGUAUGCCAAACAAGAUCUCUCAAUAGAUCAACCUUAUCAUGUGAAUCUCAUGGCCCACCGAGAUUCCCGACCAAACCCAUGCCGGCUCAAGUUCCAAGGUCGGCCUAUGAGUUUGGACGUCCCCCAUGUACAUGUAAAUGUCGAAGAGAUUCACUCCAAUAACGUAUGCACUCAUAGCAUACCAAGUCAUGUAUACAAAUAUUUGACAGGUCCAAGCAUGUAAUUCAGGAUAUGUAAGUCUAGCAAACCAGACCAAGCAUGAACAUUUAUUUCAAAUGAGUACGAGUGCGAUAAAGUACACACUUGACCCCAUUUUAUCAAAACCAGGUAGAUUAAGCAAGACAAACAUGUAUCAAGUUCACAGGAAUUCAAGUAAACAUGCACUUGACACUCACCAAGUAGUAAGUAGUCUCAACCGAAAUUUAAGCGUUCACCGUGGGAUCCUCUUGAGAGUUCUCGUGUGCGCCUGAGCAAAUAAUAGUGAAGUAUCACUCAUAUAUCCCAAUUAUCAAGGAAGAUUGUACACUAGUACAAUCUAAGGAAAUUUCUUGAAAACGAACCUCAAUUACUUGUAAAUCGAGAUUUAAAUGGAGUUUCUUAAAGUACACGGGUAAUCGAGUUUUCAUUUUGGGAAAUCAAGUAUAAAACGUUCAAGAAAUAUUGAAGGAAUAAGGAGUACUUGAAAACUCCAUUCCCUUGGAAUUUGGAAAAAAAACUUCAGGUUUGAUAUGAUACUUUGAAAAAUCGUAUCUCACAUUCUACAGGUAAAAAAUUGAAAAACUUGGUGCCGUUGGAAACCUGUUUGAAAGUACUAAAAGUUCUUAGAAGGCACUUUUCCAUGAUUCUAAAUAGAAGAUACUCAAAAAUGAGCUCAAAGUUACCGUUUCCAGGCAUUCAAGGUUGUGUCGGGGUUGGUUUUUCGCUAAUUUUGGAAAUCCAGAAAAAUUCACACGUUCCAAACCAGCCUCUGAAAUUUGUAACUCAGUUAAAGAUGCAAGUAAGGUUUAUAACAGAACAAGCGGAUCAAGAAUCAGAGUUUCGAGCACCGAGAUACGGUAGCUCAAAGUUUGGAAAAAUUUGAAACUGUUGAACAAAUUUCCAGAUUUGAGUUUCCGACUUUGGGACUUUAGUUAUGUAUCGAAAUGGACUUGGAUUGGUACAAAAUUUGGCAGUAUAAUACUCCUAUAUAAAGGGUAUCCCUCUAUCAAAUUUCAUGAAAAAAUGCUUUCGGAAAGGUAGUCAACCAACCAACUAAAGUUUCGAAAAAUUCCUAAGGCAAAACUGCCUUGAGUUUUUCGUUCUUCAUUUCCAAACAUUUGGCCCAGAAAAUCCUUCAAACUUUGUUCAUUUGUGUAGGCAAAACCGAAGAAACAUUCAUGGUACAUUUGGUAAGUGUUUAUCUCCAAGAAAUUCAAUUAACAAGUUCACACCAAGUCAAAUAUCAAAUCUGUCCAGAAUUUAGGGUUUUCAAGAACAGGGCAAGUUUCGUAUUUUGGUCACAAAUCACUCAAUUUAGCUCUGAAUUGAGAAUGGUUGGUGGUAUUGGAAAACACAUUCGUAAAGCUUAAAUUUCUCAGAAGAAAUCGUUAUGAAAUUCAGCACACAACUAACUCAAAUUCGUGCCUCAAGUUGCAGCUUCUGAACUUUGUUCCAGGAAAAGAGAGAAACAGAACAGUCAUUUUUAAAUGGUUGGUACGGCUGCUCGGAUGGAAUCUAGGGUUGUAUUUUAUACCUUUGGAAAUCUGAGAAUGUCUAGUUUCAAAUUCCACUGACGGCACUCGAUUUCGACGUCGGAGUACAGAGUUAUGGACGAAACAAGCGAGCUGUCUGAGCAUUACGGGAACAGUUUUCCAGAUUUACUAGCUUCACGAAAUUAAUCCAUUUGACCAACCAAACCUCAAUAUUUUUCAAUGAAAUUUUAUACACCAUCUAUACAACAUAUAAAAAUCAUAUACCAGCCAUUAAAUCCCCAAAAUUCUACAAAAAUAGGUACGUUCAAAGCAGGGGCAGAAUCGGAACUUUUUACCCGAUGCACUCCUUGAAGUUUAUACUAAUAACACACCAUUAAUCUACCAUUUUGAGCACUAAACCAACAUUAAAUCCAUCAUCAAGCAUGAGAUCAGCCCUCAAGACAAAUGUGGGAGUUCAUAGAGCCCACCAAUUUCAUUUUACACCAAAAACAAGCUAACCAAUGGCAUACUAGAGCUUAAUCAUGCAAUAUAACUUCCACAAGAUAAGAUUCUAUGAGUUAAUCAUUAUGUACCUCCUUGGUGUGCAAAGACCAGAAAUUUCGGUCCCCCUUUUGUCCAAGAAAAAUCGUGAAAGCUCCCUUCCUUUAUAGUUUAAGAUGAUCCUCUAGUGUAGAAUUAAGUGUUCUCCAAUUUUUGUGUGAAUUGGGUGAGUUUUUGUGAAGAAAAAAUGAAGAGCAAUGGAGUCUUGAGAGAGGAGGGUGGUGGCCGGCAGUUUUUGGUGAGGAAGAGAGAGAGGGAAACUGAUUUUUUUUUAAGCUUCUUAAAGAAGCUUAAUGAAUGGUAGCUUGUGUGUGAAUAAUGUAGCGCGCGCGCGUUUCGUGCUCAAUUCCUCUCGCGUUCGUUUCACUAGUGCACUAAACCUCUAGUACACUUAUAUUCAUACAAAUAUUAUUCACUCUUAAUUGUCCCAAAAUAAGGGUCUAAAGUCCCUCAAUUAAAAUCGCAUGUGUGAAAACGCGUACCACCAAUUUAAGCGCGAUAACGCGAAAUCUUCGCGAAAUUCCUAUAACGAUUGUACUACUAACUAUCACUUGAGUACUUAAACAUAAAAUUACCUAUUUUAGAACCAUUGUACAAGUCUCCAAUUUUUCAAAUUUAUUGUACUCUCAAUUGAUUAAAAUUUUUCAAACGCGUUUUCACUUUUUCACUAAACAAGCUUCUAAGAAAAAUAAUUUUUGAAACGAGACACUUUAAAAAUAUAUCGAAACUAUAAUACCAUGUACUUAGGUCUAAUAAGGCUAGAAAAUAUUAUUCGUGGCAAAAAUCCAAAUAAAUAAUUGAUUUAGCAAAAAAUAGGGAUUUAAAAAUAAUAGUUUUUCGAGUCCUCACAGUGAAGUUGGGCCAAAUAGUGUUAUGGUUCUUACUAUGUGGAUGAGUAAAGAUUUAAGUAUUCUUCUAGAGUGAAACUAUGAAUCAUGAAUGUGAUAGGUAUAAACCCUUUAUCUUGAUACUUGGAGAGAAAAAAGAUAUGUAUGUUGGGUAGGAAUCUCAAAUGUGGUGAUUUACUCUUGGGAUCGGCCGGUUCGAGUUGUGAAUUACCUUGUUUCGGAUUCUUGUACCCGAGUACUUAAGAGUUGAGGGCAAUCCUAAGGACUUGAGAUCUCCAUUUGUGAGGAAUAAGAAUGAAUUAUGUUUCUCGUGAAUAGUUACAGGAAAUCAAGAAUCGUUUGAUUAAAAUGACACAAUAAUUAAGAGUGAGAGGUAGAGAAGAUCGUAGCCCAGAAGAUCCUGAUGUUGGGAAUGAACUUGAACGUGUUUGGGAACGGGAAUCAUCUAGUUUCAAUUAAUCUAAUGAAACACUACUUGUGAUCUUUUGUAGUGGGACGAUGGGAGUAGAACUUAAGAGUUUGUGUCUUGGAGAUGAAUGUGUUUUUGAUAAUCACCUGUUUACUUUUGUUUACUGACUUUGACUUGGUAUGAACUUUACUUGACUAUAACUUGUGUUAUGAUUUAAUGAGAUUUAGUUUGUGUUUACUUGUAUGAUGAUAAUGUUAUUGAUGCAAGUGAUUUUAUUUUUCUUUAAAGUUGUUACUGGUAUGUGUGUGUAGUUCAAGUAUGGUUUAGUGUGAGAUUUAUGCAUAUGCAUAUAGAUUAGUUGUGAACAUGAAAACUAGAGGACAACGAAAGGGACGUCAACCUAGACAACCCCGAAAUUUAAGAGUAGAUAAUGGGUCUGGUAUUGAUCAAAACGUCAAGCCAAGGGUUGGGAGAGAAGAUUACCAAAUGAAAUUAGUUUUAACUCACAUGACAGAUGUACUAGAGCUCUUAGUAGCUCAACAGGACCAGGGGGUUAGACAAGAAAACUAACGUCGAAACCAAGAGACAGGGGAGGAUCGAGCUUUGGAGCGGUUUCAAAAAUUCUUCCCACCCAAAUUUUCUGGAGGAUCUGAUCCAGAAAUGGCUGAGAAUUGGUUAGAAAUAAGAAACAAAUGGGAAAGGGAUCAAACUCCAAGAACUUGGAUAAAUUUUAUACAAGAGUUUAAUGAGAAAUUUCUUCCUCCACUAGUCCAAGAAAAGAGAGAAGACGAUUUUAUAAAGUUUCGUAAAAAAAUUUUGAGUGUGGUUGAGUACGAAAUACGAUUCAUGAAAUUAUUUACAUAUGCUCCAGAAUUGGUGGCUACGGAACGGAAGAGAAUAAAACGGUUUAUCCAAGGAUUAAAUUUAAAAAUCCAAGAUGCCCUUGCCAUAGCACAGAUUGAAACAUUUAGUGACGCUCUCGAGAAAGCGCAAAGGGUGAAAAGCACAAAAUUCCAACUGAGAGCCUUUCAAGCGAGGAAAAGAGAUGUAUCCGAUAGUAAACUAAGAGAAAUUGGACCACUACCUAAAGUCAGAAAAGGAGUGGAUGGAGUAAAACUAUCACUUCCUUCACCACUCAUGAUAAAGGAACCAGAAGGGACUACAUCACAAAGAGCUCUAGUAGGACAGAUACAAUCAAAGAAAACCUCGCAAGCAAGUCAAGUCACAAUGUCUCGUCCGACCUGUGGAUAUUGUGGAAGAUCGAAUGAUACCGAAAAAAACUGCUGGCUAAAGGGACGAAAGUGUAUGGGAUGUGGGAGCACCAACCAUAAAGUUCACGACUGUCCAAAGCGGUAUCCACGAGAAGCUACUACUUCACAAGUCAAUGGAGGAGGAAACCGACCAGUGACAUCUGCAAGAACAUAUGAAAUGAUCACACAACAAAGUUCAAGGUUAUCUGAGAUUAUGGAAGGUAUGAAUUUCGAGAACGAAAUUCUUUUUAAGGAGGGAAGGUUGUGAGGACUCGAAUUUUCUUAUUUUUAUUUUAUUUUUCUGGAUUAAUUAAUUAUUUACUCACCCGUUUUCUCAGAAUAAUUUAUUUCAAUCAUUUUAAACUUACUUACAUGGAAUAAUGUCUCAAUUAUAUUUUUAACACGUUUCGUUAGUAAAAUUAAUUUUUCUAGGGCUCGUUUAGCAAGAAAUAAGGAGUACAUAUUUUUCGAGACUAUGUUCGAUCCGAGAGUACAUUAGUUUUGGAGAAUUAAGAAUGAUCAAUAGUAGAUUAAGAAAAGUUAAUUGAGAGAUUAGAUGUGAGUAAGUUAAAAUUAAUGUUAUACCGUGCACGCGUCGAAAGUUUUUCGAAAGACACGCUGGUACAAAUUAGUUGGAGAUUUGAGAAAUUAAUACCAGACUCAUGUGAGGACUCAUGUUUUUAUUUCUAAAAUAGUUAUUUUCAUGAUUAUUUACACUAAUAUUAGUUAGUUAUAUCAUCAUUACAAUAAUUUCUUUGAAAUUGCGCUUUAUCGCUCACGAGUCGGAAGUUCGCAUUUUCACGUGCGCGACUAAUUGAUGGACUUUAGAAAUUUAAUUUAGACUACUAAGAGUGAAUAAUUAUAGUGUUAAAGGAAUUAUAUUUGGAAGUUUAAUACACAAGUGGAACAAACCCGAGAGGAAACGGGCGUGAAACGCGCGUGUACGCGCACUAUUAAGAGUUGACUUUGGUAAAACUUUUGGGCCACAAUUCUCGUAAGCUUCUAAGACAAGAUUCAAAGUACAAAACACUCUUUCUUCCUACUAGUAUCAGCCGACCAGCAACCCCAAGAAAGAAGAGAAGCAAAGCUCUCUUCAUUUGUUUCCAAUCUUGAUUCCAAAUCUUCCACAAAUCUUCACACAAUACCUAAACUACUUGGAGAUUCACCUUGGCUUGGAGGAGGAGGUCUUCGAGCCGAGUUUCUUGGAGCUUUUGGUGACCAAAAUUUCUGAUUUUUCAUCAAGAAUUAGGAGGUAAUCAUUCGGUCCCUUAAUCUUAGUUCUAGUUGGUUAAAUUUGGCCUUGGAGCUUGUAGCUUCAUGUGGGUGUUGUUACUUGAUUGUAAAUGAUUGGAGUGGGCUCUAUGAAAUCUCACAAUGGAUAUAUUGGACUGAUAUAGUGAUUAUAAGUGUGGUUUGUGUUAAUUAAGUGGUAAACAAGGUGAGAUUAGUGGGAAAAUUGAAAGAGAAGUUAAGGAAAAUUUUGGUUGGUUGAUGACCAAUUCUGUCCAAUUUUUGCCGAAGCUUUGAUUCAAAAUUUUGGUGAUCAAAUGACCUUGAAUCUGAUGUAGAUAUGUUGUAUAGGAUGUGUGAAAAGUUUCCACCAAAAAUCACUUGAUUUGGUUGAGAAAAAAAUUGAGUUUUGGCAAGAACAAUUCUAGAAAUCGCAUAGCAGGGGUCCUCUGGCAGUAAUUUUUAAACGAACAUAUCUCUCUAUACGGAGGUCAGAAUUGAGUGCCGUCAGUGGCAUUCGAAACUAGACAUCCAUAGUUUUCUAACGAUGUAAAAUGCAUCCUCUGAUUCGAAUUGAGUGAGCCAUAGUAGUUCACCAAAGUUACCUGUUCUGUUCUGCUUUGCUGUGCGAGUGACAGUGAUAAGCUGCGAUUUGUCGCUUGAAUUCAAGCUAGCUAUGAACUGAUUUUCAAAAUGAUUUCUUCUGAUGAAAUGUAGCCUUUUGAAUCUAGUUUCAAACCCACCAACCAUUCUCAAUUUCAUGUUAUAGUGAGUGAGAUAUGGUCUAAGUUUCAAACUACACCAAAGCCAAAAAUCUGGAAAACCCUUCUGUCUUUGCCAGCCGACUGGUCUAGUUUGAUUUGGGACAUGUUAUUUUGAAAAUUCUGAUGUCAAUCACCUACCAAAUGUAUAUUAGAUGUUUCUUAGACCUUUGUUUCACAAAUGAGCCAGAUUUGAGUUGAUUUCAUUGGGCAAAAUGUUUGAAAAAGAAAAAGAAAGCAAGAAGACAGAUUUGCUUUGAAACAUUUUGUGAACUUCAGUCAUUUUGUUAACUGCCUUCCCACGUAAGUUCUCAAAUGAAAUUUGAUAGAGGAGUAGUACUCAUACGGAACAUGAAGUGUACCAAUUUUGGUGUCAUUCUAAGACUGUUUUGAUAUACAAAUAAGAUCCCAAAAUUACUUUUCAAAUCUGAAAAAAUGGAUCGAGUGGUCCUUGUUUUUAACCAAUUUUGAGCUGCUAUAUCUUAGCGCUCAAAACUCCGAUUCUAGUUCUGUUUGUUGUGUUUAAAACUUUGAUUGGAACUCUAAUAGUGUUGUGAAUUUCAGAGGCUAGUUCACUUUCUGUGAAUUUUGCUGAAUUUCCAAAAUUUGCCAAAAACUAAGACUGAAACUAUCUUGGAGAUACAAGUCAGCCACUUUAAGCUGAAAUUUGAAUGUUUUUUGUUUAGAAUCUUGGAAAACUAACUUUUAGUACUUCGAACAAAAAGUCCAACGGUGUAAAGUUUUUCAUUUUUCGACAUGCCAAACUCCAGAUUCGAUUUUCCAAAGAUUGUCGUGCAAAGCUGAAAUUUGCCGAUUACUUAGAAAAUGCAAUUUCGGGAACUUGACAUCUUUUCUCGAUAUCGAUUGAACGUUUUGAAUUCGAUUUCAUGGAAGAUGCUAGUCUCUCUUCGAACUUUAUAAUUUCACUCUUGAAUCUCGAGUUGAGAGAAUUAAAGCUCUCUUUUAAGAUUUUGAUUUAGUCUAAAUAAGUGUGCAUCCUUUCUUGGUAAAUGCAUGAUUGUGAGUGAAAUUAAUUAUUAUUUGCUCAGGCGCUCAAGGGAACCUUCAAGAGGAAUUCGAAACGGAAGCCUAAACACUUGUUUGGGCACUUACUCACUUGUUUUGAAUUGGUGAGUGUUCCAUAUAGGAGUACAUGACUUGAAUAAUUUUAUAACAUGUUUACUCCAUGAUCAUUAUGUGUUUAACUAUUAAGUGCUACCGAUAAUUGCUCCUAUGAACUUUUUCACUGUUUUAAGGCGAGUGUGUACUUCAUCUCACUCGACCUACUAAAAUGACAAAUUUCUACCGUCCAACCAAUUUACCGAUUUAUCGAUUACCGAUCCAUAUAGGAGUACAUGACUUGAAUAAUUUUAUAACAUGUUUACUCCAUGAUCAUUAUGUGUUUAACUAUUAAGUGCUACCGAUAAUUGCUCCUAUGAACUUUUUCACUGUUUUAAGGCGAGUGUGUACUUCAUCUCACUCGACCUACUAAAAUGACAAAUUUCUACCGUCCAACCAAUUUACCGAUUUAUCGAUUACCGAUUUACUGUUCAACCGAUCUACCGUUUACCGAUUUACUUGAUUGACUGCUUACUUGAUUACUUGAUUACUGUAAAUUUCGUAUUCAUAUGAAAUUAUAGCAUAUUGCUUACGUGUUUAAGUGUUAAGUGUUAUCUAUAAUUGCUCUUAUGAAAUUGCCACCGUUUUAAGGCGACUGUGUAUUUCAUCUCACUCGACCUACUAAAAUGACAAAUUUCUACCGUUCAACAGAUUUACCAAUUUACUUGAUUACUUGCGCAUGUUGUAAGCUCUAAGCUGAACUGGAUCCUGCCCUUGGUUACUAACCUGCUCGAGUCAGGAUUGGACUCGGUCGAGUAGGUUGAAACCCUGGGCCACCGUUUCUGUAUACUUGAGUAUUACCACUGGAGAGAUAUGGAAAUGACCAGACAAAUCGAAAGGAUCUGAAGUUAUAAGGUGAAGUUGACCGAAAUGGUUCCACUAGAACACCGUAUUCUUCAAUAUAUGUUUAUUUCUGUAUCAUGAUAACUGUCUUAUUGUAAAUAUGCCAAUGUGAAAUAUUGAACCAUAUAUGUAUCAUGCUUAAUUUACAUGAUUUAUUAGAACUGCUAGAGUGUCUUGGAAUCUCACUGGGUUGUUUAGCUCAUUCCACGUCUUUAUUUUCUUUAACAGAGUUCGAGACCAAGGGUGCUCGUGAAUAGUACUAGAUUAUUUUCUUUUGAAAACUUUAAGUUGUAUUAUAACGGAUGGUUGUAGUACAUAUUCUUUUGGAUUGUAUUAAAUUUGAAAGCUUACUAAUUGUAAGUAUGAAAUAUUUUGGAGUACUUUAAUUAUAUAGUGAAAAUAUUUGAAAUAUUUCAAACUUUUGAAUUAUAGAUUGUAGUGAGUCCCGGCGAGAGUUGGGCAGGUGUUCCACGGAUACCCUAGAAUUCGCCCUAGAGAGAAGUGGGGGCAUCACAACUGGUAUCAUAGCUUGGGGUUCUGAUCUUUGUAGUUUAUCCAAGACUUAUAAGUUUAGGAUGUCGGACUGUGGGAUUGGUUUGAAAGUUAAGUGACUAUUUGUAAGGAUGAAAAUCAGAGCCACUUUGCGUGGUUUCUGCGCGGGGUGAGUUUGGACCAAGUAGUGUUAUAGUUCUUACUAUGUGGAUGAGUAAAGAUUUAAGUGCUCUUCUAGAGUGAACCUAUGAAUCAUGAAUGUGAUAGGUAUAAACCCUUUAUCUUGAUACUUGGAGAAAAUUAGAUAUGUAAGUUGGAUAAGAAUCUUAAAUAUGGUGAUUUACUCUUGGGACCGGCCGACUCGAGUUGUGAAUUACCUUGUUUCGAAUUCUUGUACCCGAGUACUUAAGAGUUGAGGGCAAUCCUAAGGACUUGAGAUCUCCAUUUGUGGGGAAUAAGAACGAAUCGAUAUUUCACAUGAAUAGUUACAGAAAACCAAUAAUCGUUUGGCUAAAAUGUCACAAUAAUUAAGAGUGGGAAGUAGAGAAGAUCGUAGCCCAGAAGAUCCUGGUGUUGGAAAUGAAGUUGAACGUCUUAGGGAACGGGAAUCAUCUAGUUUCAAUUAAUCUAGUGAAACACUACUUGUGAUCUUUUGUAGUGGGACGAUGGGAGUAUAACUUAAGAGUUUGUGCCUUGAAAAUGAAUGUACUUUUGAUAAUCACUUGUUUACUUUUAUUUACUGACUUUGAUUUGGUAUGAACUUUACUUGACUAUAAUUUGUGUUAUGAUUUAAUGAAUUUUAGUUUGUGUUUACUUGUAUGGUGAUAAUGUUAUUUGUGCAAGUGAUUUCAUUUUUCUUUAAAGUUGUUACUGGUAUGUGUGUAUAGUUCAAUUAUGGUUUAGUGUGAGGUUUAUGCAUAUGCAUAUAGAUUAGCUGUGAACAUGGAAACUAGAGGAUAACGAAAGGGACGUCAACCUAAACAACCCCGAAAUCUAAGAGUAGAUGAUGGAUCUGGUAUUGAUCAAAACGCCAAGCCAAGGGUUGGGAGAGAAGAUGACCAAAUGGGAUUAUUUUAACUCGCAUGACAGAUGUACUAGAGCUCUUAGUAGCUCAACAGGGCCAGGGGAUUGGACAAGAAAACUAACGUCGUAACCAAGAGAUAGGGGAGGAUCGAGUUUUGGAACGGUUUCAGAAAUUCUUCCCACCAAUAUUUUCUGGAGGACUUGACCCAAAAGUGGCUGAGAAUUGGUUAGAAAAUAUAAUAAAUAUAUUCGGUGGCUUGGACUACACAGAAGAAAGACAAGUCACUUUUGCUGUAUUUUAACUUGAAAAAACAGCUCGAGCCUGGUGGAAUAUUAUAAGAAGCAAGUGGAAAAGUGAUCAAACUCCAAGGACUUGGAUAAACUUUGUACGAGAGUUUAAUGACAAAUUUCUUCAUCCACUAGUUCAAGAAAAGAGAGAAGACAAUUUUAUAAAGUUUCGUCAAUAAAUUUUGAGUGUGGUUGAGUACGUAACACGAUUCACAAAAUUAUCUACAUACGCUCUAGAAUUGGUGGCUAAGGAACGGAAGAGAAUAAGACGAUUUAUUCAAGGAUUAAAUUUAGAAAUCCAAGAUGCCCUUGCCGCAGCACAGAUUGAAACAUUUAGUAACGUUCUCGAGAAAGUGCAAAGGGUGGAAAGCACAAAAUUCCAACUGAGAGCCUUUCAAGCGAGAAAGAGAGAUAUAUCCGAUAGUAGACUAAGAGAAAUUGGAACACCACCCAAAGUUAGAAAAGGAGUGGAUGGAGUAAAACUAUCACUUCCUUCACCACUAAUUAAAAGGAACCAGAAGGAACUGCAUCACGAAGAGCUCUAGUAAGACAGAUACAAUCAAAGAAAACCUCGUAUUGUAUAUUGUGGAAGGAGGAAUCAUACCGAAGAAAACUGCUGGCUAAAGGGGCGAAAGUGUAUGGGAUGUGGGAGCACCAACUAUAAAGUUCAUGACUGUCCAAAGCAGUAUCCACGAGAAACUACUACUCCACAAGGAAAUAGAACUAUCCCUCGACAAGUCAAUGGAGGAGGAAACCGACCAAUGGCAUCUGCAAGAACAUAUCAAAUGAUCACACAACAAGGUUCAGAGUUAUUUGAGAUUAUGGAAGGUAUGAAUUUCGAAAACGAAAUUCUUUUUAAGGAGGAAAGGUUGCGAAGACCCUAAUUUUCUUAUUUUUAUUUUAUUUUUCUGGCCUAAUUAAUUAUUUACUCACCCGUUUUGUCUGAAUAAUUUAUUUCAAUCAUUUUAAACAUACUUACAUGGAAUAAUGUCUCAAUUAUAUUUUUUACACGUCUCGUUAGUAAAAUUAAUUUUUCUAGGGUUCGUUUCGCGAGAAAUAAGAAGUACACGUUUUUUGAAACUAUGUUCGAUCCGAAAGUACAUUAGUAUUGAAGAAUUAAGAAUGAUCAAUAGUAGAUUAAGAAAAGUUAAUUUAGAGAUUAGAUGUAAGUAAGUUAAAAAUAAGUUUAUACCAUGCGCGCGUCGAAAGUUUUUCGAAAGAGGCGCUGAUACAAAUUAAUUGAAGAUUUGAGAAAUUAAUAUUAGACUCAUGUUAGGACUCAUGUUUUUAUUUCUAAAAUAGUUAUUUUCAUGAUUAUUUACUCUAGUAUUAGUUAGUUAUAUCAUCGAUACAAGAACUUCUUUGAAAUUGCGCUUUAUAGCGCACGAGUCGGAAGUUCGCGUUUUCACGUGCGCAACUAAUUGAUAGACUUUAGAAAUUAAAUUUAGACUACUAAGAGUGAAUAAUUAUAGUGUUAAAGGAAUCAUAUUUGUAAGUUUAGUGCACAAGUGGAACAAACCCGAGAGGAAACGGGCGUAAAACGCGCGCGUACGCGCACUAUUAAGAGUUGAUUUUGGUAAAGCUUUUGGGCCACAAUUCUCGUAAGCUUCUAAGACAAGAUUCAAAGUACAAAACACUCUUUCUUCCUACUAGUAUCAGCCGACCAGCAACCCCAAGGAAGAAGAGAAGCAAAGCUCUCUUCAUUUGUUUCCAAUCUUGAUUCCAAAUCUUCCACAAAUCUUCACACAACACCUAAACUACUUGGAGAUUCACCUUGGCUUGGAGGAGGAGGUCUUCUAGCCGAGUUUCUUGGAGCUUUUGGUGACCAAAAUUUCUGAUUUUUCAUCAAGAAUUAGGAGGUAAUCAUUCGGUCCCUUAAUCUUAGUUCUAGUUGGUUAAAUUUGGCCUUGGAGCUUGUAGCUUCAUAUGGGUGUUGUUACUUGAUUGUAAAUGAUUGGAGUGGACUCUAUGAAAUCUCACAAUGGAUAUAUUGGACUGAUAUAGUGAUUAUAAGUGUGGUUUGUGUUAAUUAAGUGGUAAACAAGGUGAGAUUAGUUGGAAAAUUGAAAGAAAAGUUGAGGAAAAUUUCGGUUGGUUGAUGACCAAUUCCGCCCUAUUUUUGCUGAAGCUUUGAUUCGAAAUUUUGGUGAUAAAAUGACUUUAAAUCUAAUGUAGAUAUGUUGUAUAGGAUGUGUGGAAAGUUUCCACCAAAAAUCACUUGAUUUGGUUGAGAAAAAAAUUGAGUUUUGACAAGAACAAUUCUAGAAAUCGCAUAGCAGGGGUCCUCUGGCAGUAAUUUUUGAACCAACAUAUCUUUCUAUACGGAGGUCAGAAUUGAGUGCCGUUAGUGUCAUUCGAAACUAGACAUUCGUAGUUUUCUAACGGUGUAAAAUCUACCCUCUGAUUCGAACUGAGUGAGCCAUAGUAGUUCACUAAAGUUACCUGUUCUGUUCUACUGUGCUGUGCGAGUGACAGUGAUAAGCCGCUGCUUGUCGCUUGAAUUCAAGCUAGCUAUGAACUGAUUUUCAAAAUGAUUUCUUCUAAUGAAAUGUAACCUUUUGAAUCUAGUUUCAAACCCACCAACUAUUCUUAAUUUCAAGUUGUAGUGAAUGAGAGAUAUGGUCUAUGUUUCAAACUACACCAAAGCCGAAAAUUUGGAAAACCCUUCUGUAUUGCUAGCCAACUGGUCUAGUUUGAUUUGGGACAUGUUGUUUUGAAAAUUCUGCUGUCAAUCAACUACCAAAUGUAUAUUAGAUGUUUCUUAGACUUUCAUUUCACAAAUGAGCCAGAUUUUAGUUGAUUUCAUUGGGCAAAAUGUUUGAAAAAGAAAAAGAAAGCAAGAAGACAGAUUUGCUUUGAAACAUUUUACGAACUUCAGUCGUUUUGUUAACAGCCUUCCCACGUAAGUUUUCAAAUGAAAUUUGAUAGAGGAGUAGUCCUCAUACGAAGUUGAAGUGUACCAAUUUUGGUAUCAUUCUAAGACUGUUUUGAUAUACAAAUAAGAUCCCAAAGUUACCUUUCAAAUGUGGAAAAAUGGACCGAGUGGUCUUUGUUUUUAACCAACUUUGAGCUGCUAUAUCUUGGCGUUCAAAACUCCGAUUCUAGUUAUAUUUGUUGUGUUUAAAACUUUUAUUAGAACUCUAAUUGUGUUGUGAAUUUCAGAGGCUAGUUCACUUUCAGUGAAUUUUGCCGAAUUUCCAAAAUUUGCCAAAAACUAAGACUGAAACUGUCUUGGAGAUACAAGACAGCCACUUUAAGCUGAAAUUUGAAUGUUUUUCAUUUAGAAUCUUAGAAAAGUGUCUUCUAGGAACUUUUAGCACUUUGAACAAAGAUUCCAACAAUGUAAAUUUUUUCAUUUUUUGACGUGCCAAACUCCAGAUUCGAUUUUCCAAAGAUUGUCGUGCAAAACUGAAAUUUGCCGAUUACUUAGAAAAUGCAAUUUCGGGAACUUGACUUCUUUUCUCGAUAUCUAUUGAAUGUUUUGAAUUCGAUAUUUCAUGGAAGAUGCUAGUCUCUUUUCGGACUUUAAAACUUCACUCUUGAAUCUCGAGUUGAGAGAAUUAAAGCUCUCUUUUAAGACUUUGAUGUAGUCUAAAUGAGUGUGCAUCCUUUCUUGGUAAAUGCAUGAUUGUGAAUGAAGUUAUUAUUAUUUGCUCAAGCGCUCAAGGGGACCUUCAAGAGGAACUCGAAGCAGAUGCCUAAACACUUGUUUGAGCACUUACUCACUUGUUUUGAAUUGGUGAGUGUUUCAUAUAGGAGUACGUGACUUGAAUAGUUUUACGACAUGUUUACUCCAUGGUCCUUAUGUGUUUAACUAUUAAGUGCUACCGACAAUUGCUCCUAUGAACUUUUUCAGUGUUUUAAGACGAGUAUGUACUUCAUCUCACUCGACCUACUAAAAUGACAAAUUUCUACCGUCCAACCGAUUUACUGAUUUACCGAUUUAUCGAUUACCGAUCUACCGUUUACUGAUUUACUUGAUUACGUGCUUACUUGAUUACUUGAUUACCGUAAAUUCCGUGUUCAUAUGAAAUUACAGCAUAUUGCUUACGUGUUUAAGUGUUAAAAGUUACCUAUAAUUGCUCUUAUGACAUUGCCACCAUUGUAAAGCGAAUGUGUACUUCAUCUCACUCGACCUACUAAAAUGAUAAAUUUCUACCGUUCAACCGAUUUAUCGAUUUACUUGAUUGCUUGCACAUGUUGUAAGUUCUAAGCUGAAUUGGAUCCUGCCCUUAGUUACUAACCUGCUCGAGCUAGGACUGGGCUCGGUCGGGUAAGUUGGAACCCUGGACCACCGUUUCGAUAUACUCGAGUAUUACCACUGGAGGGAUAAGGUGAUAGCCAGACAAAUCGAAGGGAUCUGAAGUUAUAAGGUGAAGUUGACCGAAAUGGUUCCACUGGAACACUGUAUCCUUCAAUUUGUGUAUAUUUCUGUAUAAUAAAAUCUGUCUUAUUGUAAAUGUGCCAAUGUCAAAUCUUGAACCGUAUAUGUAUCAUGCUUAACUUAUAUGAUUUAUUUGAACUGCUAGAGUGUCUUGGAACCUCACUGGACUGUUUAACUCAUUCCACGUUUUUGUUUUCCUUAAUAGGGUUCGAGAUCAAGAGUACUCGUGAAUAGUACUAGAUUAUUUUUUUUAAGACUUUAAGUUCUAUUAUAACGGAUGGUUGUAGUACAUAUUCUUUUGGAUUAUAUUAAGCUUCAAAGCUAACUAAUUGUAAGUAUGAAAUAUUUUGGAGUACUUUAAUUAUAUAGUGAAAAUAUUUGAAAUAUUUCAAACUUUUGAAUUAUAGAUUAUAGUGAGUCCCGGCAAGAGUUGGGCAGGCGUUCCGUGGAUACCCUAGGGUUCCCCCUAGGGAGAAGUAGGGGCGUCACAGGCUGAACUGGGCCCCAAAACCCUCUGUUCAACGGACUAUUCGAGCCAACAAAGGGCUUGGUCGGGUAGGACGGUAGCUUUGAGUAAAUGUUUCGGUAUACUCGAGUAUUACCAUGAGGUUGAGAGAUUAUUGAACUGAUUAUUGAAUGUAAGGGAUUGUUUAUUGUUUUGGAGGACAUAAGGAGGUGAAUUGGCGGAAUGUACAAUGAUAUUGAAAUGAAUGUACAAUGACAGUGAAAUGAGUGUCUCUUGACACUAAAAUGAAGUGGCUCCAAUGCGAGCACCGUAUCCUUUUAAAAGUGAUUGUUCAGUGAAGUGUUUCCUCAAUUGUUUAAUGAAAGUGAUUGUACUGAUAUUUAAGUGUUUAUUAAAUGUUACUUGCUCGGCAAACCUCACUGAGUUUUAACUCACCCUUUUAGCUUUGUUUUCCUUACAGGAGUUGAAGAUUGAAGAGUGAUUAGAUUGAACUAGAAAGUUAAUUUUGGAAAGAUCCAUUACUCUGUGUAUAUAGUG
rnacentral:lncRNA from 1 species